UACGUGGGGUGCGAGCGUUGUCCGUGAAUUAUUGGGCGUAAAGAGCUUGUAGGCGGUUUGUCGCGUCUGCCGUGAAAAUCCGGGGCUCAACCCCGGACUUGCGGUGGGUACGGGCAGACUAGAGUGUGGUAGGGGAGACUGGAAUUCCUGGUGUAGCGGUGAAAUGCGCAGAUAUCAGGAGGAACACCGAUGGCGAAGGCAGGUCUCUGGGCCACUACUGACGCUGAGAAGCGAAAGCGUGGGGAGCGAACAGG
rnacentral:rRNA from 1 species